rnacentral:rRNA from 1 species
GACGAACGCUGGCGGCGUGCUUAACACAUGCAAGUCGAACGGAAAGGCCCUGCUUUUGUGGGGUGCUCGAGUGGCGAAAGGGUGAGUAACACGUGAGUAACCUGCCCUUGACUUUGGGAUAACUUCAGGAAACUGGGGCUAAUACCGGAUAGGAGCUCCUGCUGCAUGGUGGGGGUUGGAAAGUUUCGGCGGUUGGGGAUGGACUCGCGGCUUAUCAGCUUGUUGGUGGGGUAGUGGCUUACCAAGGCUUUGACGGGUAGCCGGCCUGAGAGGGUGACCGGCCACAUUGGGACUGAGAUACGGCCCAGACUCCUACGGGAGGCAGCAGUGGGGAAUAUUGCACAAUGGGCGGCAGCCUGAUGCAGCAACGCCGCGUGCGGGAUGACGGCCUUCGGGUUGUAAACCGCUUUCGCCUGUGACGAAGCGUGAGUGACGGUAAUGGGUAAAGAAGCACCGGCUAACUACGUG